GAGUUUGAUCCUGGCUCAGAUUGAACGCUGGCGGAUGCUUUACACAUGCAAGUCGGACGGCAGCACGGGGCUUCGGCCUGGUGGCGAGUGGCGAACGGUGAGUAAUGUAUCGGAACGUGCCCGGUAGCGGGGAUAACUACGCGAAAGCGUGGCUAAUACCGCAUACGCCCUACGGGGGAAAGCGGGGGACCUUCGGGCCUCGCACUAUUGGAGCGGCCGAUAUCGGAUUAGCUAGUUGGUGGGGUAACGGCCUACCAAGGCGACGAUCCGUAGCUGGUUUGAGAGGACGACCAGUCACACUGGGACUGAGACACGGCCCAGACUCCUACGGGAGGCAGCAGUGGGGAAUUUUGGACAAUGGGGCAACCCUGAUCCAGCCAUCCCGCGUGUGCGAUGAAGGCCUUCGGGUUGUAAAGCACUUUUGGCAGGAAAGAAACGGCACGGGCUAAUAUCCUGUGCAACUGACGGUACCUGCAGAAUAAGCACCGGCUAACUACGUGCCAGCAGCCGCGGUAAUACGUAGGGUGCAAGCGUUAAUCGGAAUUACUGGGCGUAAAGCGUGCGCAGGCGGUUCGGAAAGAAAGAUGUGAAAUCCCAGGGCUUAACCUUGGAACUGCAUUUUAACUACCGAGCUAGAGUGUGUCAGAGGGAGGUGGAAUUCCGCGUGUAGCAGUGAAAUGCGUAGAUAUGCGGAGGAACACCGAUGGCGAAGGCAGCCUCCUGGGAUAACACUGACGCUCAUGCACGAAAGUGUGGGGGCAAACAGGAUUAGAUACCCUGGUAGUCCACGCCCUAAACGAUGUCAACUAGCUGUUGGGCCUUCGGGCCUUGGUAGCGCAGCUAACGCGUGAAGUUGACCGCCUGGGGAGUACGGUCGCAAGAUUAAAACUCAAAGGAAUUGACGGGGACCCGCACAAGCGGUGGAUGAUGUGGAUUAAUUCGAUGCAACGCGAAAAACCUUACCUACCCUUGACAUGUCUGGAAUCCCGAAGAGAUUUGGGAGUGCUCGCAAGAGAAACCGAACACAGGUGCUGCAUGGCUGUCGUCAGCUCGUGUCGUGAGAUGUUGGGUUAAGUCCCGCAACGAGCGCAACCCUUGUCAUUAGUUGCUACGAAAGGGCACUCUAAUGAGACUGCCGGUGACAAACCGAGGAAGGUGGGGAUGACGUCAAGUCCUCAUGGCCCUUAUGGGUAGGGCUUCACACGUCAUACAAUGGUCGGGACAGAGGGUUGCCAACCCGCGAGGGGAGCCAAUCCCAGAAACCCGGUCGUAGUCCGGAUCGCAGUCUGCAACUCGACUGCGUGAAGUCGGAAUCGCUAGUAAUCGCGGAUCAGCAUGUCGCGGUGAAUACGUUCCCGGGUCUUGUACACACCGCCCGUCACACCAUGGGAGUGGGUUUUACCAGAAGUAGUUAGCCUAACCGCAAGGGGGCGAUUACCACGGUAGGAUUCAUGACUGGGGUGAAGUCGUAACAAGGUAGCCGUAUCGGAAGGUGCGGCUGGAUCACC
rnacentral:rRNA from 1 species